rnacentral:rRNA from 1 species
CCUACGGGAGGCAGCAGUGAGGAAUAUUGGUCAAUGGACGAGAGUCUGAACCAGCCAAGCAGCGUGAAGGAUGACUGCCCUAUGGGUUGUAAACUUCUUUUAUAUGGGAAUAAAAUGUUACACGUGUGGGAUUUUGUAUGUACCAUAUGAAUAAGGAUCGGCUAACUCCGUGCCAGCAGCCGCGGUAAUACGGAGGAUCCGAGCGUUAUCCGGAUUUAUUGGGUUUAAAGGGUGCGUAGGUGGGUUGUUAAGUCAGUUGUGAAAGUUUGCGGCUCAACCGUAGAAUUGCAGCUGAAACUGUCAGUCUAGAGUGCAGUAGAGGUAGGCGGAAUGCGUGGUGUAGCGGUGAAAUGCUUAGAUAUCACGAAGAACUCCGAUUGCGAAGGCAGCUCACUGGACUGCAACUGACGCUGAGGCACGAAAGUGUGGGUAUCAAACAGGAUUAGAUACCCUUGUAGUC